AGUCGGAGUGUGUUUCCCGUAUGUGUGCAUGUACCGGAAGUCCCGUUUAAGCUGCACUGGUGGUUGGUUUUGGUUCAAAAUGGAACAAUGAAAAAUACCUUUAAUAUUGGGUUGCUUAUAUAUUUUCACCAUAGAUGUGGAAAUCAUAAUAGGCUAUUAAUAAAAUUAUAAAUUAUACAUGUGGCCUUUAAAUAUCUUUUCUACGUACCCUUGUUAUUAAUUAAUUACUAAAAUCAAAAGAAAUUUCCUUCUCAAUUACAUGUCGUUGAGUUUUCCACCUAGAUAUGUGUUGUAUUUUUUUAUCUUAUUAAAAUAACAUAAAAUCUUAUUUACUCUCAAUCAAAAUCAAUCUAGAAUAUAAGGGUGUCUCUAUGUACUUCUCUAGGUGUGUGUUUAAUUGUUUUUUUUGUUGCAUAUAUGCAAAUAUCAAGUCAUAAAAACAUGUUUUACCUUAAUAAACACAACCAGGUGUUACUAAAAAAAUAUAAUCAUAAAAACCUAUAAUGAAAUAUAGAUAUACAAAUCAAGGAUAGAGGGAAAAGAAAUAUCUUCAAAUAAUAGAUGGAAAAUAGUGUUUUAUUUCUUUCUUCAUUACGAGAACUACGAUCUUUGGCUCUGGAACUGAAUCAUUUCCUUGUAUCUGAGAAAGACUUCCAGAUUCAAAGGAAGGAAGUUUAAUUGGACUGAAUCAGAAAUUUUAUUCUAUGAUUGAUCAGUAUAAACAUCAACACCUUCGAAUUGGAUCAGUUUCUCCUGAACAAAUAAGUGCUUGGGCAAAAAAAAUCCUACCUAAUGGAGAAAUUGUUGGAGAGGUAACAAAACCCUAUACUCUUCAUUACAAAACCAAUAAGCCUGAAAAAGAUGGAUUAUUUUGUGAACGAAUUUUUGGGCCUAUAAAAAGUGGGAUUUGUGCUUGUGGAAAUUAUCGAGUAAUCGGAGAUAAAAAAGACCAACCCAAAUUUUGUGAACAAUGCGGAGUAGAAUUUGUUGAUUCUCGGGUACGUAGGUAUCAAAUGGGGUAUAUAAAACUAGCAUGUCCAGUAACCCAUGUAUGGUAUUUGAAACGUCUUCCUAGUUAUAUUGCGAGCCUUUUAGAUAAACCUCUUAAAGAAUUAGAAGGUCUAGUAUACUGCGAUGUGUGAUUUGAUAAAAAUUCUUAUUGUACAGAUUUCAAAUGAGAAACUGUCAUUCCAUUCAAUUAAAUUGGAAUGUCCUCUAUCUGGCAUGUCUCUUGGGAUGAGUAACAUGAAGCUCAGAAUUCAUGGGUGUAUUGAAUACUCCCAAAUCAAUAAGGGAAUUGGUCUAUGGUCAAUUCAGUAACAAAUAAAUAUUUAUUUAUAACCGUACGUACCUUGUGAAAAAAAAAAAAUUAUUUUUUUGUGGAAUUAAUUAUUUCAUCUCUUUUUUUUUUAAGAACUUAAAUUAAGUUCAAAGAAUAAAAUAUAAUAUAUCAUGAUUGCCGAAGUCUAUCUAUCGCAUAUAGGCUUAAAGACAUCGUGGCAUAACCGUCGAGGUGACGUCUUGACCUAAAAGAUCAAAUGGUAUGAUACAUAGACAAAGAAAUCUCUUAUGAAUUCGAGGAUAUUCCUUUUUUUUAUUAAAAAGUAUAUUUUAAAGGAUUCUUCGUUCGAAGGGAGGUAGACUACUCAAGAAUUUUACAUUGAAUUUCUGUCGUAAUUUCGAAUUGCAUAAAGAAUUCAGAAACAAAGAAGAAUGUAUCAAUGAAAUGUUGCUUCGUCUGUAUUGAUAACUUGAGUAAAGAGUAAACCUUUUUUAUUUUAGAUUUAGAGGUUUUCAAAAAUUUGAAAACGGAAACCACUUUCUUUAUCUUUAUUGUGUGUAAAUACUUUAGCCGGAUGAGAGGAAACCCUCACGUCCGAUUUUCAAAGGGGGAGAUCCAUCUUAUUGGAUCCUAUCCAAAUUUUUCGUUUGCUAGGCCCGUAGUUAAAAAACCUACUUUCUUACGAUUACGAGGUUCAUUCGAAUACGAAAUCCAAUCUUGGAAAUACAGUAUCCCACUCUUUUUUGCUACUCAAGGUUUCGAUACAUUUCGAAAUAGAGAAAUUUCUAGUGGAGCAGGUGCUAUACGAGAACAAUUAGUUGAUUUGGAUUUAAGAAUUAUUAUGGAUUCUUCGUUGGUAGAAUGGAAAGAAUUAGGAGAAGAGGGAUCCGCCGACAAUGAAAAUGAAAAUGAAUGGGAAGAUCGAAAAGUAGGAAGAAGAAAGAAUUUUUUGGUUCGACGCAUGGAAUUAGUUAAGCACUUUAUCCGAACAAAUAUAGAACCAGAAUGGAUGGUUUUAUCUCUCUUACCAGUUCUUCCUCCCGAAUUGAGACCAAUUAUUCAAAUAGAUGGAGGGAAACUAAUGAGUUCGGAUAUUAAUGAACUCUAUAGAAGAGUUAUCUAUCGGAACAAUACUCUUAUUGACCUAUUAACAACAAGUAGAUCUACACCAGGGGAAUUAGUAAUGUGUCAAGAAAAAUUGGUACAAGAAGCCGUGGAUACACUCCUUGAUAAUGGAAUCCGCGGACAACCAAUGAGGGACGGUCAUAAUAAAGUUUACAAAUCGUUUUCAGAUAUAAUUGAGGGCAAAGAGGGAAGAUUUCGAGAGACUCUGCUUGGAAAACGAGUUGAUUAUUCGGGGCGUUCUGUUAUUGUCGUAGGUCCAUCACUUUCAUUACAUCGAUGUGGAUUGCCCCGCGAAAUAGCAAUAGAGCUAUUUCAGACAUUUCUAAUUCGUGGUUUAAUUCGAAAACAUUUUGCUUCGAACAUAGGAGUUGCUAAGAGUAAAAUACGGGAAAAAGAACCGAUUGUAUGGGAAAUACUUCAAGAAGUUAUGCGGGGGCAUCCAGUAUUGCUGAAUAGAGCGCCUACUUUGCAUAGAUUGGGCAUACAGGCAUUUCAACCUAUUUUAGUAGAAGGACGUGCUAUUUGUUUACAUCCAUUAGUGUGUAAGGGAUUCAAUGCAGACUUUGAUGGGGAUCAAAUGGCUGUUCAUGUGCCUUUAUCUUUGGAGGCUCAAGCAGAAGCUCGUUUACUUAUGUUUUCUCAUACAAACCUCUUGUCUCCGGCUAUUGGGGAUCCCAUUUCCGUACCAACUCAAGAUAUGCUUAUAGGACUUUACGUAUUAACUAGCGGAAAUCGUCGAGGUAUUUGUGCAAACAGGUAUAAUCCGUUUAAUUGCCGAAAUUCUAAAAAUGAAAAAAUUAGCAAUAAUAACUCUAAGUAUAUGAAAAAAAAAGAACCCUUUUUUUGCAAUUCCUAUGAUGCAAUUGGAGCUUAUCGACAGAAAAGAAUAAAUUUAGAUAGUCCUUUUUGGCUCCGGUGGCGAAUAGAUCAAUGCAUUAUGUCUUCAAGAGAAGUUCCUAUCGAAGUUCACUAUGAAUCUUUUGGUACCUAUUAUGAAAUUUAUGGGCAUUAUUUAGUAAUAAGAAGUAUAAAAAAAGAAAUUCGUUGUAUAUACAUUAGAACCACUGUUGGUCAUAUUUCUUUUUAUCGAGAAAUUGAAGAAGCUAUACAAGGUUUUUCUCGAGCCUAUUCAUAUGGUAUCUAAUCAUAUAGAUGGUUAGUGUUGAUAUCCAAGCUAGGUAAAUUUAUGUUAUGAUACUGGCGUAAAUUCAGGUCAACUAGCAUCUUUUCUAUUUUCUACGUGAAUAAACAUAAAGAAAAGGAAGUUUUCCAAUCAUUCACUCAAAUUCAUUGUCGAACCGAAUCCCACUGAGUGGAAUAUGGAGGUACUUAUGGCAGAACGGGCCAAUCUAGUCUUUCACUUUCUUCCAUGCUUAGUGCGCAUGAUAGAAAGAGUCGAGCUUUGGAGUUUAGAAGUACUUUUUCUUUAUCUUCCUUUGACCAUGAUGCUUCUGGUGUGAGUGUAUCCACCUUUGUUGUUGCAUCAGUUGUCAUAGGUAUAUGUUCUCCAUUUGUGAUUAUUUUCCACAUAUCCACGUCUUGGGAUCUGAGGAAUAGUUUCAUUUUUCCUUUCCAGAAAUAAUAGUUCUUUCCAUUGAAGAAUGGUGGUCUUGUGCAUGAUAGACCUUCUGGUAUGUACUUUUCUUUUGACAUUGCCUUCUUCCUGAAUCUUUUCCUCCAACACUUGUUAGGUGUUUUUGUAGAGCCCGGGCUCUGAUACCAAUUAAAGUAGCAAUAAACGUCACAAGAAAGGGGGGGUUUGAAUUGUGACCCUUUUAAAAAUUAUUCCUGAAACUUAAGUUUAGAUUUAUAUACUCAAGAAUAAUCUUGGUGUAUGUUAGCUUAACAAGAUUAGAGUAUAUAACAAUUAAUUGAAUUUAGAACAGAACAUUCUGAAGACUGAUUAUAAACAGAAUGAGAAAAAUGAUGUUAAGUUAAAAGAUUAUUUUAGCAAGGACCAGAAUGUUCUGGAGAUUAAUAAAAUAAUGUGUGUGUGUGUUGUGUAACUUUAAAUAAAGAGAGAGAUAGAGAUAGAGAGAGAGAGAGAGAAGAAUAACACAGGAGAGUUAUCCUGGUUCACCAAACCCGGCUACUUCCAGUCCCCACACCUCGUGUGAGAUUAUCCACUAUAGUUUUCUUGCUAACAGAAACUUCUGACUAGCACUACAAUAUCUUGAUCACACCAGAUCAGUCCGUAACCUCUGUAUUAUCAACCUCAGCAGGCUUAUACAAUUCUUUGCACACUAGCAAAAGAAAGGUUGGAAUUUUCUAUCUCAAAACUAUUAAGCCCAAUAGACUUUGAGAAAUACAACACUCUUUGUAUGAAGAGAUUUGUUUUGGAUCGAAUAAAUACUCAAAUCUUUGUUUGAGUUUUACAAGAGGCAAAUUCAAGAGAGAUGAUCCAAGAGAUAUAGUGAGAGAGCUUGGAAUUUGCUUUGUUUGUGAAGAGCUUUGUUUGUAGUGAUGAUUUUCACUUUGAGAGAUAUUAGCUUGCAAAACUCUUGCUUAUGACCUUCAAAGGCCCUUGUAUUUAUAGGUGAGGAGUGUCUUGGUACCAAGGGAGAAAAUAGAGCUGUUGGACACGUUUUUGAUAGCUGUCCAAAGUCUCAAUUGAUUUCUCUUUUCUUCUUUAAAAUAGCCAGAACGUUCUCAGAAUGUUCUUUCUGAUUUGCCUGACUUAGAAAGCACUGUUGCUUUGCUUGCGCAUGAGAUAACCAGCUGUGAUGAGCUGUAUAACUUGCAGCCCACUUCUGAUGAUGUCAUGUCCUUUUGCUCUAGUGAUGUCAUGCUUAAGUAAGCCAUGUGAUCUUAUCCAUUUAAUGGGCUUUACUUUUUCAAAUGGGCUUAAAGCUUUUCUUAUGGCCCAAUAGACAUAAUCAGCCAAGCUUUCUUGCUGUGCAGACUUGUUCGCUUUUGAUGUACUGUUCCAUUUUCAUCGUUUUCGCCAGAACGUUCUCAAUUCAUUCUCAUGAAACAAAUUCUCACAAAAACGAAUUAGUAGAUAACAAGAUUAAAUAAAUAUAAUAUGUUUGUAAUCUUUAAAACAUCAAAUAAGGAUUUUGUCUCAACAACUUUGUCCUCCGCACGAUUUAUUAGGAGCUUUGUCCUCCGCACGUUUAAAGUAUAUUAAUACUUAUGAUGACGAUUGGUACCACAUGCAUAUAAGGAGUCUAAGAGCAUUGUCGCAUUGUCGUGUCUAAGAUGCUAUGUUGUUGAUGAUGAUUGAAUAUGUGAUUACGUGAUAAUUGUUUAUCAAAUAUGCAAAGUUGUUUAAGAUUGAAUAUGAUGUUAAUGUUAAUUUAUGAUUCGAAUUACAUUGAUUAAUAUUAUUUUGUUAUGAAAUCUCACCCCUUCUGCUUGAAAAUGUUGCCCUUCGUAUGGGUAACUUGCAGGUGAUCGUGCUUAGUGUGCAGUUUGCCGUUGUGAGUGGCCUUGCCUCGCUGUGUCGUCUAGGUCGCUCUGAUACGUAACGGGAUGGGGUUUUAUGUUAUGCAUGCUUCAUUCUCUUACGUAACUAAUAUGUUAUUUUUAUAAUAUUAUCAAUUAUGAUUUGAAAUAUUUUGAUGGGGCCUGCGUGCCGAAACGUUUUAUGGAUUAUGAUAUAAUUUCCGCUGCAAUGUUUAAGUUAUUUGGUUAAAUUAUUAUUUAACUGUUUUGGAUUAUGUUAUAUGUGAUAUCCCGUUGUUUACGAUGCUUACUCUGAUAAAUGUUUUAAGAAAUUUUUAUAUUGGGAAAACGGAGUGUUACAGAAACUCCCCCUAUAAAUACCGCAUUCCUCAUUCACAAUUUCUCAUUCAUAACGAAGUGGUUCAAGAGGAAUGCAGUCACUAUGCAUCUAGGGAGGAUUCUCUCUCUUCACUCCAAAUUUUUCUAGAGUAUUUUUAUUUCUUUUAUAAUUUCUCUUUAGUUACCAUGGGUAACUAAAUCUUUUUAGGCUUGGGUUCUAAGAUUAACCUCUAUUCUGGUUGUUGGAUAAUUUAUGUAAAGUCUUUAUUUUAGUUAUUUAUCUUUAUGCUACUAGUUUUACUGUUGUUGCGUAAGAUUUGUCUACUAAAGCAUAAUCUACUUAGAAUAAUUGAACGUGAGUUAACUGUUAAUUAAUUCCAACAAAAUGAAUAGAGAUGAUUCAAAUUAUGUUCAAUAUUUAAGCUAACUGUGUCCUCUAUUUAAAUUAAUUGUUAUAUAUUAUAAACCUGAUAUAGCAUAGCCUAUAUAGGGCUCACAUGAAGCGAUCACAAUCGAUAAAACUAUAUUCUAUAGCUAACGGUUGAUCCUACAAUACGCUCAAUCAAUGCAAAAAUAUGUUGUCACCUAUUGGGUUCAUAUUUCUAUAAAUAACUUUGCCACGGCCAAACAGUAUUAUUUCUCUUUUGUGUUUUUUUCUUUUUAUAUCAUGAAAGGUCAAAAUAAUGGAUAUUUGUUAAAAUAAAAUAGCAUGAAUCCUUAUCAUUGAUGAGUUUUUUAUAUGACCUCCUUACUAAGCAUGAUAAAGAAACAAAUUGAACACAUUGAUGCAUUUAAGAGAUAUUUAAUAAUUAUUCUAAUUUUAAAAAGUAUCUAUAAUAUACAUAAAGAAAACUACCUCCUUUCAACACUUUUGGGUUGAAUUUUUCUUUCUAAAAAUGUCAUCAAUUUUCAAUACAAAUAAUACAUAUAAUAAAUAGACAAGAAUAAAUUUAAAUAUUAAAAAAACGUAACAAAUACGAUAUGAAUAUAUAUAUAUAUAUAUAUAUAUAUAUAUAUAUAUGUGUGUGUGUGUUUUUUUUUUCUUUAUCAUUUAAAAAGUGUAACAAACUAAAUGAGUAUAUUUAUAUUUAAUUUUUUCCAAUUACAUCUUUAAACAACUUUUUCUAUAAUAAAGAUUGUUGUUGGUGUUAUUGAAAUAAAUAAUCAUGUUUAAUUUGGUUUGUUAUACCUAGAAAGCAACAAAAAUUUAUAUUUUUAGUUUUAAUCAAAAUCAAAAUUUCAUAAAAAAAAAAAUAUAAUUCAUAAUUUUCAAAUUUUAACGCGGUAAAAAGAGUGAAAAUACGGGCACGUAAGUGCCCAUCUUUACGCUAAUUUUUAUAAUUGCAUAAGUGACUUUUUAGCUGAUGAAACGAUAUCAUAAUCUUUAUAAAUUGUAAAACCACAUUCUAUUUGUUAUAUGCAAAAGGCGAGAAAUAUGGCUAAACUUGUCAAGCUUGUUUAUGUUAUAAUUGUGUUUUAUACCCUAUUUCUUGUUGCAACGGAAAUUGUUUGUGAGCUAAUUUUUCAUACUCUUGAAAUUUCCUUUUAUUUCUUUUUAUCUCGUUUUAGUAACAUUAUUUUGUUCUUUUUCCUUCAAUACAGCGGGUAUUCCUUGUAACGAUGAUGUUGAUUGUCCACAGACUCUGUGUGAACAGUUAAUUGCCGACUUCAAGUAUAUGAUAGAUUUUAAGUCGGAGUGUGUUUCCCGUAUGUGUGCAUGUACCGGAAGUCCCGUUUAAGCUGCACUGGUGGUUGGUUUUGGUUCAAAAUGGAACAAUGAAAAAUACCUUUAAUAUUGGGUUGCUUAUAUAUUUUCACCAUAGAUGUGGAAAUCAUAAUAGGCUAUUAAUAAAAUUAUAAAUUAUACAUGUGGCCUUUAAAUAUCUUUUCUACGUACCCUUGUUAUUAAUUAAUUACUAAAAUCAAAAGAAAUUUCCUUCUCAAUUACAUGUCGUUGAGUUUUCCACCUAGAUAUGUGUUGUAUUUUUUUAUCUUAUUAAAAUAACAUAAAAUCUUAUUUACUCUCAAUCAAAAUCAAUCUAGAAUAUAAGGGUGUCUCUAUGUACUUCUCUAGGUGUGUGUUUAAUUGUUUUUUUUGUUGCAUAUAUGCAAAUAUCAAGUCAUAAAAACAUGUUUUACCUUAAUAAACACAACCAGGUGUUACUAAAAAAAUAUAAUCAUAAAAACCUAUAAUGAAAUAUAGAUAUACAAAUCAAGGAUAGAGGGAAAAGAAAUAUCUUCAAAUAAUAGAUGGAAAAUAGUGUUUUAUUUCUUUCUUCAUUACGAGAACUACGAUCUUUGGCUCUGGAACUGAAUCAUUUCCUUGUAUCUGAGAAAGACUUCCAGAUUCAAAGGAAGGAAGUUUAAUUGGACUGAAUCAGAAAUUUUAUUCUAUGAUUGAUCAGUAUAAACAUCAACACCUUCGAAUUGGAUCAGUUUCUCCUGAACAAAUAAGUGCUUGGGCAAAAAAAAUCCUACCUAAUGGAGAAAUUGUUGGAGAGGUAACAAAACCCUAUACUCUUCAUUACAAAACCAAUAAGCCUGAAAAAGAUGGAUUAUUUUGUGAACGAAUUUUUGGGCCUAUAAAAAGUGGGAUUUGUGCUUGUGGAAAUUAUCGAGUAAUCGGAGAUAAAAAAGACCAACCCAAAUUUUGUGAACAAUGCGGAGUAGAAUUUGUUGAUUCUCGGGUACGUAGGUAUCAAAUGGGGUAUAUAAAACUAGCAUGUCCAGUAACCCAUGUAUGGUAUUUGAAACGUCUUCCUAGUUAUAUUGCGAGCCUUUUAGAUAAACCUCUUAAAGAAUUAGAAGGUCUAGUAUACUGCGAUGUGUGAUUUGAUAAAAAUUCUUAUUGUACAGAUUUCAAAUGAGAAACUGUCAUUCCAUUCAAUUAAAUUGGAAUGUCCUCUAUCUGGCAUGUCUCUUGGGAUGAGUAACAUGAAGCUCAGAAUUCAUGGGUGUAUUGAAUACUCCCAAAUCAAUAAGGGAAUUGGUCUAUGGUCAAUUCAGUAACAAAUAAAUAUUUAUUUAUAACCGUACGUACCUUGUGAAAAAAAAAAAAUUAUUUUUUUGUGGAAUUAAUUAUUUCAUCUCUUUUUUUUUUAAGAACUUAAAUUAAGUUCAAAGAAUAAAAUAUAAUAUAUCAUGAUUGCCGAAGUCUAUCUAUCGCAUAUAGGCUUAAAGACAUCGUGGCAUAACCGUCGAGGUGACGUCUUGACCUAAAAGAUCAAAUGGUAUGAUACAUAGACAAAGAAAUCUCUUAUGAAUUCGAGGAUAUUCCUUUUUUUUAUUAAAAAGUAUAUUUUAAAGGAUUCUUCGUUCGAAGGGAGGUAGACUACUCAAGAAUUUUACAUUGAAUUUCUGUCGUAAUUUCGAAUUGCAUAAAGAAUUCAGAAACAAAGAAGAAUGUAUCAAUGAAAUGUUGCUUCGUCUGUAUUGAUAACUUGAGUAAAGAGUAAACCUUUUUUAUUUUAGAUUUAGAGGUUUUCAAAAAUUUGAAAACGGAAACCACUUUCUUUAUCUUUAUUGUGUGUAAAUACUUUAGCCGGAUGAGAGGAAACCCUCACGUCCGAUUUUCAAAGGGGGAGAUCCAUCUUAUUGGAUCCUAUCCAAAUUUUUCGUUUGCUAGGCCCGUAGUUAAAAAACCUACUUUCUUACGAUUACGAGGUUCAUUCGAAUACGAAAUCCAAUCUUGGAAAUACAGUAUCCCACUCUUUUUUGCUACUCAAGGUUUCGAUACAUUUCGAAAUAGAGAAAUUUCUAGUGGAGCAGGUGCUAUACGAGAACAAUUAGUUGAUUUGGAUUUAAGAAUUAUUAUGGAUUCUUCGUUGGUAGAAUGGAAAGAAUUAGGAGAAGAGGGAUCCGCCGACAAUGAAAAUGAAAAUGAAUGGGAAGAUCGAAAAGUAGGAAGAAGAAAGAAUUUUUUGGUUCGACGCAUGGAAUUAGUUAAGCACUUUAUCCGAACAAAUAUAGAACCAGAAUGGAUGGUUUUAUCUCUCUUACCAGUUCUUCCUCCCGAAUUGAGACCAAUUAUUCAAAUAGAUGGAGGGAAACUAAUGAGUUCGGAUAUUAAUGAACUCUAUAGAAGAGUUAUCUAUCGGAACAAUACUCUUAUUGACCUAUUAACAACAAGUAGAUCUACACCAGGGGAAUUAGUAAUGUGUCAAGAAAAAUUGGUACAAGAAGCCGUGGAUACACUCCUUGAUAAUGGAAUCCGCGGACAACCAAUGAGGGACGGUCAUAAUAAAGUUUACAAAUCGUUUUCAGAUAUAAUUGAGGGCAAAGAGGGAAGAUUUCGAGAGACUCUGCUUGGAAAACGAGUUGAUUAUUCGGGGCGUUCUGUUAUUGUCGUAGGUCCAUCACUUUCAUUACAUCGAUGUGGAUUGCCCCGCGAAAUAGCAAUAGAGCUAUUUCAGACAUUUCUAAUUCGUGGUUUAAUUCGAAAACAUUUUGCUUCGAACAUAGGAGUUGCUAAGAGUAAAAUACGGGAAAAAGAACCGAUUGUAUGGGAAAUACUUCAAGAAGUUAUGCGGGGGCAUCCAGUAUUGCUGAAUAGAGCGCCUACUUUGCAUAGAUUGGGCAUACAGGCAUUUCAACCUAUUUUAGUAGAAGGACGUGCUAUUUGUUUACAUCCAUUAGUGUGUAAGGGAUUCAAUGCAGACUUUGAUGGGGAUCAAAUGGCUGUUCAUGUGCCUUUAUCUUUGGAGGCUCAAGCAGAAGCUCGUUUACUUAUGUUUUCUCAUACAAACCUCUUGUCUCCGGCUAUUGGGGAUCCCAUUUCCGUACCAACUCAAGAUAUGCUUAUAGGACUUUACGUAUUAACUAGCGGAAAUCGUCGAGGUAUUUGUGCAAACAGGUAUAAUCCGUUUAAUUGCCGAAAUUCUAAAAAUGAAAAAAUUAGCAAUAAUAACUCUAAGUAUAUGAAAAAAAAAGAACCCUUUUUUUGCAAUUCCUAUGAUGCAAUUGGAGCUUAUCGACAGAAAAGAAUAAAUUUAGAUAGUCCUUUUUGGCUCCGGUGGCGAAUAGAUCAAUGCAUUAUGUCUUCAAGAGAAGUUCCUAUCGAAGUUCACUAUGAAUCUUUUGGUACCUAUUAUGAAAUUUAUGGGCAUUAUUUAGUAAUAAGAAGUAUAAAAAAAGAAAUUCGUUGUAUAUACAUUAGAACCACUGUUGGUCAUAUUUCUUUUUAUCGAGAAAUUGAAGAAGCUAUACAAGGUUUUUCUCGAGCCUAUUCAUAUGGUAUCUAAUCAUAUAGAUGGUUAGUGUUGAUAUCCAAGCUAGGUAAAUUUAUGUUAUGAUACUGGCGUAAAUUCAGGUCAACUAGCAUCUUUUCUAUUUUCUACGUGAAUAAACAUAAAGAAAAGGAAGUUUUCCAAUCAUUCACUCAAAUUCAUUGUCGAACCGAAUCCCACUGAGUGGAAUAUGGAGGUACUUAUGGCAGAACGGGCCAAUCUAGUCUUUCACUUUCUUCCAUGCUUAGUGCGCAUGAUAGAAAGAGUCGAGCUUUGGAGUUUAGAAGUACUUUUUCUUUAUCUUCCUUUGACCAUGAUGCUUCUGGUGUGAGUGUAUCCACCUUUGUUGUUGCAUCAGUUGUCAUAGGUAUAUGUUCUCCAUUUGUGAUUAUUUUCCACAUAUCCACGUCUUGGGAUCUGAGGAAUAGUUUCAUUUUUCCUUUCCAGAAAUAAUAGUUCUUUCCAUUGAAGAAUGGUGGUCUUGUGCAUGAUAGACCUUCUGGUAUGUACUUUUCUUUUGACAUUGCCUUCUUCCUGAAUCUUUUCCUCCAACACUUGUUAGGUGUUUUUGUAGAGCCCGGGCUCUGAUACCAAUUAAAGUAGCAAUAAACGUCACAAGAAAGGGGGGGUUUGAAUUGUGACCCUUUUAAAAAUUAUUCCUGAAACUUAAGUUUAGAUUUAUAUACUCAAGAAUAAUCUUGGUGUAUGUUAGCUUAACAAGAUUAGAGUAUAUAACAAUUAAUUGAAUUUAGAACAGAACAUUCUGAAGACUGAUUAUAAACAGAAUGAGAAAAAUGAUGUUAAGUUAAAAGAUUAUUUUAGCAAGGACCAGAAUGUUCUGGAGAUUAAUAAAAUAAUGUGUGUGUGUGUUGUGUAACUUUAAAUAAAGAGAGAGAUAGAGAUAGAGAGAGAGAGAGAGAAGAAUAACACAGGAGAGUUAUCCUGGUUCACCAAACCCGGCUACUUCCAGUCCCCACACCUCGUGUGAGAUUAUCCACUAUAGUUUUCUUGCUAACAGAAACUUCUGACUAGCACUACAAUAUCUUGAUCACACCAGAUCAGUCCGUAACCUCUGUAUUAUCAACCUCAGCAGGCUUAUACAAUUCUUUGCACACUAGCAAAAGAAAGGUUGGAAUUUUCUAUCUCAAAACUAUUAAGCCCAAUAGACUUUGAGAAAUACAACACUCUUUGUAUGAAGAGAUUUGUUUUGGAUCGAAUAAAUACUCAAAUCUUUGUUUGAGUUUUACAAGAGGCAAAUUCAAGAGAGAUGAUCCAAGAGAUAUAGUGAGAGAGCUUGGAAUUUGCUUUGUUUGUGAAGAGCUUUGUUUGUAGUGAUGAUUUUCACUUUGAGAGAUAUUAGCUUGCAAAACUCUUGCUUAUGACCUUCAAAGGCCCUUGUAUUUAUAGGUGAGGAGUGUCUUGGUACCAAGGGAGAAAAUAGAGCUGUUGGACACGUUUUUGAUAGCUGUCCAAAGUCUCAAUUGAUUUCUCUUUUCUUCUUUAAAAUAGCCAGAACGUUCUCAGAAUGUUCUUUCUGAUUUGCCUGACUUAGAAAGCACUGUUGCUUUGCUUGCGCAUGAGAUAACCAGCUGUGAUGAGCUGUAUAACUUGCAGCCCACUUCUGAUGAUGUCAUGUCCUUUUGCUCUAGUGAUGUCAUGCUUAAGUAAGCCAUGUGAUCUUAUCCAUUUAAUGGGCUUUACUUUUUCAAAUGGGCUUAAAGCUUUUCUUAUGGCCCAAUAGACAUAAUCAGCCAAGCUUUCUUGCUGUGCAGACUUGUUCGCUUUUGAUGUACUGUUCCAUUUUCAUCGUUUUCGCCAGAACGUUCUCAAUUCAUUCUCAUGAAACAAAUUCUCACAAAAACGAAUUAGUAGAUAACAAGAUUAAAUAAAUAUAAUAUGUUUGUAAUCUUUAAAACAUCAAAUAAGGAUUUUGUCUCAACAACUUUGUCCUCCGCACGAUUUAUUAGGAGCUUUGUCCUCCGCACGUUUAAAGUAUAUUAAUACUUAUGAUGACGAUUGGUACCACAUGCAUAUAAGGAGUCUAAGAGCAUUGUCGCAUUGUCGUGUCUAAGAUGCUAUGUUGUUGAUGAUGAUUGAAUAUGUGAUUACGUGAUAAUUGUUUAUCAAAUAUGCAAAGUUGUUUAAGAUUGAAUAUGAUGUUAAUGUUAAUUUAUGAUUCGAAUUACAUUGAUUAAUAUUAUUUUGUUAUGAAAUCUCACCCCUUCUGCUUGAAAAUGUUGCCCUUCGUAUGGGUAACUUGCAGGUGAUCGUGCUUAGUGUGCAGUUUGCCGUUGUGAGUGGCCUUGCCUCGCUGUGUCGUCUAGGUCGCUCUGAUACGUAACGGGAUGGGGUUUUAUGUUAUGCAUGCUUCAUUCUCUUACGUAACUAAUAUGUUAUUUUUAUAAUAUUAUCAAUUAUGAUUUGAAAUAUUUUGAUGGGGCCUGCGUGCCGAAACGUUUUAUGGAUUAUGAUAUAAUUUCCGCUGCAAUGUUUAAGUUAUUUGGUUAAAUUAUUAUUUAACUGUUUUGGAUUAUGUUAUAUGUGAUAUCCCGUUGUUUACGAUGCUUACUCUGAUAAAUGUUUUAAGAAAUUUUUAUAUUGGGAAAACGGAGUGUUACAGAAACUCCCCCUAUAAAUACCGCAUUCCUCAUUCACAAUUUCUCAUUCAUAACGAAGUGGUUCAAGAGGAAUGCAGUCACUAUGCAUCUAGGGAGGAUUCUCUCUCUUCACUCCAAAUUUUUCUAGAGUAUUUUUAUUUCUUUUAUAAUUUCUCUUUAGUUACCAUGGGUAACUAAAUCUUUUUAGGCUUGGGUUCUAAGAUUAACCUCUAUUCUGGUUGUUGGAUAAUUUAUGUAAAGUCUUUAUUUUAGUUAUUUAUCUUUAUGCUACUAGUUUUACUGUUGUUGCGUAAGAUUUGUCUACUAAAGCAUAAUCUACUUAGAAUAAUUGAACGUGAGUUAACUGUUAAUUAAUUCCAACAAAAUGAAUAGAGAUGAUUCAAAUUAUGUUCAAUAUUUAAGCUAACUGUGUCCUCUAUUUAAAUUAAUUGUUAUAUAUUAUAAACCUGAUAUAGCAUAGCCUAUAUAGGGCUCACAUGAAGCGAUCACAAUCGAUAAAACUAUAUUCUAUAGCUAACGGUUGAUCCUACAAUACGCUCAAUCAAUGCAAAAAUAUGUUGUCACCUAUUGGGUUCAUAUUUCUAUAAAUAACUUUGCCACGGCCAAACAGUAUUAUUUCUCUUUUGUGUUUUUUUCUUUUUAUAUCAUGAAAGGUCAAAAUAAUGGAUAUUUGUUAAAAUAAAAUAGCAUGAAUCCUUAUCAUUGAUGAGUUUUUUAUAUGACCUCCUUACUAAGCAUGAUAAAGAAACAAAUUGAACACAUUGAUGCAUUUAAGAGAUAUUUAAUAAUUAUUCUAAUUUUAAAAAGUAUCUAUAAUAUACAUAAAGAAAACUACCUCCUUUCAACACUUUUGGGUUGAAUUUUUCUUUCUAAAAAUGUCAUCAAUUUUCAAUACAAAUAAUACAUAUAAUAAAUAGACAAGAAUAAAUUUAAAUAUUAAAAAAACGUAACAAAUACGAUAUGAAUAUAUAUAUAUAUAUAUAUAUAUAUAUAUAUGUGUGUGUGUGUUUUUUUUUUCUUUAUCAUUUAAAAAGUGUAACAAACUAAAUGAGUAUAUUUAUAUUUAAUUUUUUCCAAUUACAUCUUUAAACAACUUUUUCUAUAAUAAAGAUUGUUGUUGGUGUUAUUGAAAUAAAUAAUCAUGUUUAAUUUGGUUUGUUAUACCUAGAAAGCAACAAAAAUUUAUAUUUUUAGUUUUAAUCAAAAUCAAAAUUUCAUAAAAAAAAAAAUAUAAUUCAUAAUUUUCAAAUUUUAACGCGGUAAAAAGAGUGAAAAUACGGGCACGUAAGUGCCCAUCUUUACGCUAAUUUUUAUAAUUGCAUAAGUGACUUUUUAGCUGAUGAAACGAUAUCAUAAUCUUUAUAAAUUGUAAAACCACAUUCUAUUUGUUAUAUGCAAAAGGCGAGAAAUAUGGCUAAACUUGUCAAGCUUGUUUAUGUUAUAAUUGUGUUUUAUACCCUAUUUCUUGUUGCAACGGAAAUUGUUUGUGAGCUAAUUUUUCAUACUCUUGAAAUUUCCUUUUAUUUCUUUUUAUCUCGUUUUAGUAACAUUAUUUUGUUCUUUUUCCUUCAAUACAGCGGGUAUUCCUUGUAACGAUGAUGUUGAUUGUCCACAGACUCUGUGUGAACAGUUAAUUGCCGACUUCAAGUAUAUGAUAGAUUUUAAGUCGGAGUGUGUUUCCCGUAUGUGUGCAUGUACCGGAAGUCCCGUUUAAGCUGCACUGGUGGUUGGUUUUGGUUCAAAAUGGAACAAUGAAAAAUACCUUUAAUAUUGGGUUGCUUAUAUAUUUUCACCAUAGAUGUGGAAAUCAUAAUAGGCUAUUAAUAAAAUUAUAAAUUAUACAUGUGGCCUUUAAAUAUCUUUUCUACGUACCCUUGUUAUUAAUUAAUUACUAAAAUCAAAAGAAAUUUCCUUCUCAAUUACAUGUCGUUGAGUUUUCCACCUAGAUAUGUGUUGUAUUUUUUUAUCUUAUUAAAAUAACAUAAAAUCUUAUUUACUCUCAAUCAAAAUCAAUCUAGAAUAUAAGGGUGUCUCUAUGUACUUCUCUAGGUGUGUGUUUAAUUGUUUUUUUUGUUGCAUAUAUGCAAAUAUCAAGUCAUAAAAACAUGUUUUACCUUAAUAAACACAACCAGGUGUUACUAAAAAAAUAUAAUCAUAAAAACCUAUAAUGAAAUAUAGAUAUACAAAUCAAGGAUAGAGGGAAAAGAAAUAUCUUCAAAUAAUAGAUGGAAAAUAGUGUUUUAUUUCUUUCUUCAUUAGGAGAUUUUCUAAGCUAAUAGGGUAAUUAAAAUCUUAAAUUUAAUCAUGCACAUUUAAACAAGAUGUGUGAAGAUGAAUUUGCUUCAAUCAAUUAGAAAGAAAAACAAAGAAGCAAUGAAAGUUGGGUUUAAUUUUACCUAAGAUAUUAUGAUAUGCAUACAUAAACAUUUUUUACCUACGAUAUUAUGAUAUGCAUACAUAAACAAAUUUUUUUGGCAAAAUUACAUUAAUAGUGUCCCUUAACUUAAUUUUAGGUAACGUUUUGGUCCUUUAUCUUAUUUUUUUAAUCCUUUAUCUUUUUAAAUGUUAACACUAUUAUCCCUUUUCUACAAAAACCCAACAAAUUCAUAACAAAAAUAAGUUGUUCAUCAAUAAACCUAUAUUUUCAUCAACAAAUACCAAAAACCCAGAUAUUUAUAAAAAUUCCAGAGAGAAAAAAAUGCAUUCAACUUCAGUUUUUGUUUCACAUAAACGUACUGAUUAUCAAAAUUAACAAAAGAUAUGAAUAAGUGUUCUGAGGGUAGGUGCAUUUAGCACACAAAACCAACACUCCAAAACCAUUAAGCAUUCAAAACCCAAAAGCAAUAAUAAGCUCCAGGUUUGUAAUUCAGAACUCUCUCUUUCACAAAGGCAAAGUGGCAGUAAGGCAAAUUGACAGUAAGGGUUUGAGUUUAUUUAAUUGAGAGAAGUGGGUUGAUAGAUGGUGGUGAUGUUGUUGGGGAAGAGCUGAAUUGGUGUAGGUUGUAUAAGAGGUUGGAAAUGUGAUUCAUUUUCAGCAUGAAAUGAUGAUAGAGCGCACAAAUAUGAUAUAGGAAAACAGAAAUGGUGAAGGGGAUUUUAUGAAGAUAUGUAUUUCUGGGUUUUAUUAUGAUGAAGAUAUGAGUUUUUUGUUAUGAAUUUGCUGGGUUUUUGUAGAAAAAGGAUAAUAUUGUUAACAUUUAAAAAGAUAAAGGAUUGAAAUGGGAAGAAAAAAAAUAAGAUAAAGGACCAAAACAUUACCUAAAAUUAAGUUAAGAAAUUAUUAGUGUAAUUUUGCCAUUUUUUUACAUAAGAUUAAUUUUCAUAUACUAUUAGGACUCGUUUAAUUGGUUAUGAUAAGAGAUAGAUAAGAUAAUUGUACCAUAUUCGACCUUAAUUCAAUGUUUGAUGAGACAACAACAUAAUUAAUUCUAAGAUUCUUUUCCCACAACAUGUAAGACAAGAUAUAAUAGUUUUAUUCUCCCAAUGUACAUUAAAACCCUUAUGUGAGGCUUAAGAGAGAUACAAGUAAAUGUUGAGAAAGUGUCUCAAUCAGGGGUGAAGUUAUAAGGGAGACCAGCAUAGACCAUAACCCCCUUCAAACUAUUUUCUAUUUUUUUAAUUUGUUUAUACUGGUGGGUAUUACUGCUAAUUGUUUGCAAGUCUUUUUAUUAUCAGAUUCAAAGGUUGCAGAAGCCUUAGCUAUGCGGAAGGUUUUGGAAUUUAUGAAAGACAUGUCUUUUCUGAAUCUUAUAGCAGAAUCAAAUGCUUCUAAUAUGGUCUUGGUGUUAAAUGCUCUCCAACAAUAUGGUCUUUAAUGUAUGUCUUCGUAGUUUAAAUUUUAAGCAUGUUAAGCGUGAAGCCAACCAAAGCUGCUCACUAUUUAGCUAAAUAGUAUGAUCUUCAUAAUUUAGAUUGCAUAUGAAUCGAAAAUAUUCUGUCUUAUAUUUAUGCAAUCUUGACAUUUGAUUUAUUGGUAAACUUUUUAUUAAUAAAAUUUUCUUUUAACUUAAAAAAAAGGGCGGAGGGAGUGAUUCUCUUUAAUGAAAUUUUCAAUUCUCUCUCUUUGGUCUUGUCAAACGAAUACUCCAUUUGUCCCAUAUUAUUUGACACAAUUGACUUCAUUACAUAUGUCAAUGCACAACUUUAAUCUUAAAUAUCUUUAAUAAUCUAUUAGAAAAAAUUAUAUAAAAAAAUUAAUAUUUUAAAAAUAUUCAUCAAGAUGAAUUCAACAACAUCUUAUAUGCUAACAUUUGUCUUUGUAUAUUAGUAAAAAAUAUGAUUAAAACAUGUUAUAUGAAUAGUACACAUUUUUAAAGUAGGUCAUUUAAAAUGGGACAGAAGGUUAGAAAAUAUGAGAAACGCUUGAUGAGAAUGUUAACUUGUGCCCUCAAGGCACAAGUUAAGAAACCAAAGAUAAAAAUAUUUUGUUGGAAAUUGUACAUUUAAUGUUCUAGUCCUAUAAAUUUAAAAUAUUAUCUUUUCAAGAUAUAAUUUAUGAUUUAAUUCUAUUUUUAGAUUCCUAACUUAUCUUGUGCCCUUAGGGCACAAGGUGACGCUACCCUUUUUUAUUUUCUCAUUUACGUGUUAUGACUUAAACAUUUUCUUCAUCUAAUUUUUUUUUCAAGUUAUCAUUUACCCGCACAACACAUUUUCUUCUUUAAAAAGAUUUAAACCUAAAGCCUUUAAGCCAAAACCAAUUCAAAACUCUCUCACCGUUGUCGAGUCUUGGUCUUCCUAAAUGAUCCUUUUCCUACACUACACACUUUUAGUGAAAGCCUAAGAUUAUAGGAAAACAUUAAUUACUUAAUAUAAAAGUUGAAAACUUUAGAAUUCUUAAUCUCAAAACCUAUGAAAUUGUGGCCAGCAAGAUUGAUUACGUGAAGGUCAUAUAUAUUGUUGUCUUCUUGAUACACAGUAUCAAAUAAAGUCAAAAGUUAGGUUUGUGGUGGGAAGCCUCUGACACUACUAAAAAAAUAAAAAUUAGUGAGGGAAAUUUAGUGAGGGAAAACGUGAAAUCCUUCUCUAAUUCCGUCACUAAAUUUUGCGACCAACGAAUUUGUGAGAGAUUUUAUUUUUUCCGUCACUAAUUUUCCUCUCUGAUUUUACUUUUUCUAGUAAUGUGACGUAGGAGAAUGAAAAAUUCUACUACGUAAAUUUCUCAUUUGUGUUGGGAUUUGGUGUAGUUAGUUAUAAUUUUGAUGUAAAUUUGAUGUGCCUGAUUAAAUAUAUGUUUUGUUUCACUAUAUUGAUUUUUAUAUUCUCGCACUUAAGAGACAUGGAAUAGAAUCAUAUGUAGAUGUUAAUUGUGAGACGUUAAACUACAUUUACAAUCACCCAACAAUAUUAUAAGGUAAUUCUAUUUUAUCGGUUAACCGAAUGAUACAUCAGAAGUUAAAAGAUAAACUAUAUCUCUCGUUAUUCCAUACAUCAAUAUGUAUGGUGAGCGAUAUGUGAUGGUAUAACUGAAACACUACAAGUAUGUAAUGGAUGAAGGAAAUACAUUAGAGGAUUAUCUAGUGAAACUUAAAUUACUACUUUUUUAUCUUGAUACUUUUAUCAUCUACUACGUUGCUACUCAAAGAACUAAUUUUCACAAAGUCUUAGCUUAAAGUAUGUAGCUUAUAAUAUUGACAUUACUGCAAAGCUGGAGGAUACUUUCAAUCUGAUACAAGGAAUUUUCCAUUAACAAACAAGAAGAAACCAGAAUCAUUAAAUUGCAAGAAAUUUCGAUUAUAUUCAUGAAGGCAUCAAUGUUUAAACUGAUAUAGCAAGCCUAUAUAGGGCUCACAUGAAGCAAUCACAAUCAAUAAAUAAUAUUGUAUAGCUAACAUUGAUCGCACAAUACGUUCAAUAAAUACUUUGCCACGGCCAAACAAUAUUAUUUCUCUUUUGUGUUUUUUUACUUUCUUAUCAUGAAAGUUCAAAAUAAUGGAUAUUUGGUAAAAUAAAAUAGAACAAAUUCUUAUGAUUGAGGAGUUUUUUAUAUGACCUCCUUACUAAGCAUGAUAAAGAAAUAAAUUGAACACAUUGAUGCAUUUAAGAGAUAUUUAAUAAUUAUCCUAAUUUUAAAAAGGUAUCUAUACUGUACGUAAUGAAAACUACCCCUUUUUGAAUUUUUCUUUCUAAAAAUACCCUCAAUUUUUAAUACAAAUAACACAUAUAAUAAAUAGACAAGAAUAAAUUUAAAUAUUAAAAACACAUAACAAAUACGAUAUGAAUAUAUAUAUAUAUAUAUAUAUAUAUAUAUAUAUAUAUAUAUAUAUAUAUGUGUGUGUGUUUUUUUUUUUUUAUCAUUUAAAAAGUGUAACAAACUAAAUGAGUAUAUUUAUACUUAAUUUUUCCCAAUUAUAUCUUUAAACAACUUUUUCUAUAAUAAAGAUUGUUGUUGGUGUAUUGAAAUAAAUAAUCAUGUUUAAUUUGGUUUGUUAUAACUAGAAAGCAACAAAAAAUUAUAUUUUUAAUUUUAAUCAAAAUCAAAAUUUCAUAAAAAAAAAAAUAUAAUUCAUAAUUUUCAAAUUUUAACGCGGUAAAAAGAGUGAAAAUACCGGCACGUAAGUGCCCAUCUUUUCGCUAGAUUUUAUAUUUGCAUAAGUGGCUUUUUAGCUGAUGAAACGAUAUCAUAAUCUUUAUAAAUUGUAAAACCACAUUCUAUUUGUUAAAUGCAAAAGGCAAAAAUAUGGCUAAACUUGUCAAGUUUGUUUAUGUUAUAAUUGUGUUUUAUACCCUUUUUCUCGUUGGAACAGAAAUUGUUUGUGAGCUAUUUUUUCAUCCUUUUCAAAUUUCCUUUUAAUUCUUUUUAUUCCAUUUUAGUAACAUUAUUUUGUUAUUUUUCUUCAAUACAGCGGGUCAUGCUUGUACCGUUAAUGCUGAUUGUGAACAGAGUAUGUGUGAUCCGUUUUGUGUCGGAGGUUAUCAUUUUACGCCGAUUUGUGUUAUCGGUUGGUGUGUUUGUGUCGGAAAUCGGGUUGCUCCGGUUUUAUGAAUAAUUAUAUAGUUUCCAUAUAUAUGUGGAAAUCAUAAUAAGCUAUUAAUAAAAUUUAUAAAUUAUACAUGUGACUUUUAAAUAUCUUUU
rnacentral:lncRNA from 1 species